rnacentral:rRNA from 1 species
GCGCCUUAUGCAUGCAAGUCGAGCGAAGCUUUUCAGUAGUUUACUACAGAAAAUGACUGAGCGGCGAACGGGUGAGUAACGCGUGAGCAAUCUACCUUAGUUACAGGGAUAGCCCGAGGAAACUCGGAUUAAUACCUGAUAUUCUUUAUAUUUCGCAUGAAAUUAAAAGGAAAGGUCAGCCGAACUAAGAUGAGCUCGCGUUCUAUCAGCUAGUUGGUGAGGUAAAAGCUUACCAAGGCUACGACGGAUAGCUGGUCUGAGAGGACGAUCAGCCACACUGGGACUGAGACACGGCCCAGACUCCUACGGGAGGCUGCAGCAGGGAAUAUUGCGCAAUGAGCGAAAGCUUGACGCAGCGACACCGCGUGUGGGAUGACGGAUCUAGGUUUGUAAACCACUUUCAGGAGGGAAGAAAAUGACGGUACCUCCACAAGAAGCCCCGGCCAA